rnacentral:rRNA from 1 species
GAUGAACGCUAGCGGGAGGCUUAACACAUGCAAGUCGAGGGGUAUAGUAGCAAUACUAGAGACCGGCGCACGGGUGAGUAACGCGUAUGCAACCUGCCCUUUACAGGAGGAUAGCCCGCUGAAAGGCGGAUUAAUACUGCAUAAUAUGGUACAAUCGAAUGGUUGAGCCAUAAAAGCUGAGGCGGUAAAGGAUGGGCAUGCGUGACAUUAGCUGGUUGGCGGGGUAACGGCCCACCAAGGCAACGAUGUCUAGGGGUUCUGAGAGGAAGGUCCCCCACACUGGUACUGAGACACGGACCAGACUCCUACGGGAGGCAGCAGUGAGGAAUAUUGGUCAAUGGGCGCGAGCCUGAACCAGCCAUCCCGCGUGCAGGAAGACGGCCCUAUGGGUUGUAAACUGUUUUUGUGCAGGAAGAACGUACAGAUCGUGAUUUGUAGUGACGGUACUGCAUGAAUAAGCACCGGCUAACUCCGUGCCAGCCGCCGCAGUAA